rnacentral:sRNA from 1 species
UGCUAUGGAUAUAUCUAAAAGAAAUGGAUUCUUCAUUAUGUCAUUUUUUUGUAUUGGUGUCUCUAAUCUAAAUGUGCUCAGAAACUUCACAUAUGUAAUGACAGGCAAUCCACUGUAUGACAGCCUAGGUUCUUUGGGUGUGGGCACCUUAUUAGGCAUGGUCUCAGCAUUCCUCAUCUACACUAACACAGAAGCACUCUUAGGGCGGUCCAUCCAGCCAGAACAAGUACAACGGCUCACUGAACUCCUGGAGAAUGACCCAUCAGUAAGGGCAAUUCAUGAUGUUAAAGCCACAGAUCUGGGAUUAGGUAAAGUAAGAUUUAAGGCAGAAGUAGAUUUUGAUGGGCGAGUUGUUACAAGAUCAUAUUUGGAAAAACAAGAUUUUGACCAAAUGUUACAAGAAAUUCAAGAAGUGAAAACUCCUGAAGAACUAGAGACCUUUAUGCUUAAACAUGGAGAAAAUAUUAUUGAUACUUUAGGAGCUGAAGUAGAUAGACUUGAGAAGGAACUGAAAAAACGAAAUCCUGAAGUUCGACAUGUAGAUUUGGAGAUACUGUGAGUUUGAUGGAAUGAAUCACCUGGGUGGGGACCUUGGAAACAAGUUUGUCCGUCCACUCUACAAAGUUUCCUCCUCUCCUACACUGAAGGACUCAGUGCCAUGCAGAAGCCUUUUUUUUAAGAUGAAGGAAAUAUUUUAUGUAAAGAGCAACUCAGCAGGACACAGAACUAAAACUACUACUUACAUCUAAGAGACACACUACAAGUUGAAUCAAUUUGAAAAUCAUGUUUUUAUGCUUCCAUAGGGAACA